rnacentral:rRNA from 1 species
AUUGAACGCUGGCGGCAGGCCUAACACAUGCAAGUCGAGCGGAUGAGAGGAGCUUGCUUCUCGAUUCAGCGGCGGACGGGUGAGUAAUGCCUAGGAAUCUGCCUGGUAGUGGGGGACAACGUUUCGAAAGGAACGCUCAUACCGCAUACGUCCGACGGGAGAAAGCAGGGGACCUUCGGGCCUUGCGCUAUCAGAUGAGCCUAGGUCGGAUUAGCUAGUUGGUGAGGUAAUGGCUCACCAAGGCGACGAUCCGUAACUGGUCUGAGAGGAUGAUCAGUCACACUGGAACUGAGACACGGUCCAGACUCCUACGGGAGGCAGCAGUGGGGAAUAUUGGACAAUGGGCGAAAGCCUGAUCCAGCCAUGCCGCGUGUGUGAAGAAGGUCUUCGGAUUGUAAAGCACUUUAAGUUGGGAGGAAGGGUUGUAGAUUAAUACUCUGCAAUUUUGACGUUACCGACAGAAUAAGCACCGGCUAACUCUGUGCCAGCCGCCGCGGUAACAC